GGGUUAAGUCCCGCAACGAGCGCAACCCUUAUUGUUAGUUGCUACCAUUUAGUUGAGCACUCUAGCGAGACUGCCCGGGUUAACCGGGAGGAAGGUGGGGAUGACGUCAAAUCAUCAUGCCCCUUAUGUCUAGGGCUACACACGUGCUACAAUGGUCGGUACAAUGAGAUGCAACCUCGCGAGAGUGAGCAAAACUAUAAAACCGAUCUCAGUUCGGAUUGUAGGCUGAAACUCGCCUACAUGAAGCUGGAGUUGCUAGUAAUCGCGAAUCAGAAUGUCGCGGUGAAUACGUUCCCGGGCCUUGUACACACCGCCCGUCACACCAUGAGAGUUGGCAAUACCCAAAGUUCGUGAGCUAACCGCAAGGAGGCAGCGACCUAAGGUAGGGUCAGCGAUUGGGGUGAAGUCGUAACAAGGUAGCCGUAGGAGAACCUGCGGCUGGAUCACCUCCUUUCUAUGGA
rnacentral:rRNA from 1 species